rnacentral:rRNA from 1 species
CCACGGGGAUUCUCUAUUACGGCGAGUGAGCGGCAAAGCUCAAUUUGAAAUCUGGUACCUUCCUUUCCGUUGUUGUGUUGGGAUACGGGACUUUCGGGCCGUGCCUAGUAUAUGUUCCUUGGACCAGGAAUCGAGUCGGUGAGAAUCCAGAACCCGCUCGUAGUCCGAUUGGAUGUACCGUGCCAUCCGCUAGUCGAGUUGUUUGGGAAUGCGGGAAUGCAUGGGUGGUAAAUUCGUAAAUUUCCUCUAUAUCGGCUAUAGACCGAUGACCGAUAGUACAGUGAUGGAAAGAUCAAAAGAACAAUAGAACUUUGAUGAAAAAGUUAAUGAAAUUGUGAAAUUGGAAAGGGGGAAGAUCUGAAAAUGUGUCUUACCCCCUCUAGACCAGUAGUCUCUGGGAAUGACUAUGCACUCUGAACCUGUGGUAGGUCAGCAGCAGUGAUCGGGGGCGGAAAAUGAAGCUGGGAAGGUGGCUUUCCAGGUUCUGCCGGGGUAGUGUUUAUAGCCAUUGUUGUAAUACGUCCACUGGGGACUGAGGACUGCGGCUUCUUGCCUCGGACGCUCACUAAGGGUUUUUUCAAUGGCCCGUCUUGAACAACGGGAAAAAAU